CGGUCUUGUUCUCUUUUUGUUUCUUCUACUCUAUUCUACUACAUUCUCCAAACACCCAUCCAAACACCUUCCAUCCUGUGCUUGUGUACUUGGUGAGUCGUUCAAGGAAGAAUUUUCUUUCUGAUUUCUAUACUAGCUCAUCUAUUGCUUUCCUCCUGCUUUUGAAGCAUCUUAGUUUCUAGUACACACACAAAUUCUCUUGGAACGACAGGAAUUUCAUAGAGAUAGAGGUAGAUUCAUCAGAUGCCCAUGUGAAUGAGUGAAGCUGCCAGCAUGAUCUAGCUUUGGCUCGCAGCGUGUGUUAGCUCCUGCGUGUGAAUCAUUGUUAGAUCAUGACUGACAGCAUCAUUUCUUCACAACAAUGGGCAUAUGUGUGUGCAGAUCCAAUGGGAGGGCAUGUCAUCAUUCUCUAAAUCUCUAAUACUGCAGCUGGUAACCGAAAAAUGUGUAGUACUACCACUGCAUGUAUGUGCUGUGGCAGGACCAGACAUUCAUAGUAGUAGAGAAGCAAGGGAAUGAAAUUCAUUCUAACUUUUGCACAACCAUUCUGCUUGCUUCACAAAGUAGCUAGGUACUUAAUUUGUGGGGAAUGCCAUAUAUCACUUCAUUUCGUUCACAGAUAGUCCAUAUUUGAUAUGUGUGUUCAUGGAUUUUUUAUUUUAUUUUUUGUCCCCACUAUACCACUUAACUAGUUAGUUAAUUAGCUAGGUUAGCUACUACUUUGGUGUAAAGUCACCAAAAACUAACUAUCCCUAUGUAUAUGAUGAUUAAGCAGAACCUAGUAUAUCAUAAACUCUUGGCCACAACUAACUAGCACAAUAUAUAUUAAACAAAUUAAUCUGGUUAGCUCCAUACGUGAUGAUUUGAUGAUAGGGACAUCGUGUACUGAGUUCUUACGCUCGAGUAGUUCAGCUAGUACGUAGAGCAGAAACAAAAAGAUGGAACCAAUACUAUAUGAUGAACACCAAAUACUAGUGUUUUUUCCACAUGAUUUACUUCAGCUCUAGAAAUACCUACCUAUAGCUAAAAAUACACACGUGCAUUCAUGUCCAUAUCUUCGGUAGUAGUAUAUACACAUUGUUCAAGCAAUUGCAUUGGGCUGGUAGGACAAGUCUAUUCCACUAUCUGCCUAUAUACAUUAGCGUACGUAAUUAGCUCCACUAGAUUUGGAAAUAAAAUAAGAGCUCGCUAGCUAGAUCAAGCAAGGAUCUAGACCGCCUAUGAAGCUACAUAUACAUAUAUAAAGAAACUUAGCCAGUACUACCAAGUUCUGCAACGGAAGUUACUGAUGGAUAUAUCCAUCGAUCUCGUCACUUUCACCCUUCCAGAACUGUGUCACUGCACAGCCGUUCUGCCACUCUGAGCAGCCCUCAUUUUCUCAUGCUAGCUAACAGAUCAAUUUUCUUUUUCUUUACUCAUCGUGUACAAAAUCAAAUUUCUUUGCGAUUUGUGAACAUAAUCAUUAAUAAUGCUAACAAUCAUCUUAUAAUAUUUACACUUUGUCGAAAAAAUCCAAAUGUAAUUGUUUUCAGACUUGUGUCUUCUAAUCAACUGAAAAUGAGGAAUUGAAGGGUGAACAGAUCAAUAUUUGCUCUUAUGAUUCAUUCAAACAUGACCAUUAAUAGUAAUUAAUUAUGAGCAAACAGUGUCUUCUAAUCAAGUGAAAACGAGGAAUUGAAGAGUGAACAGGAGUACAGGACUGCUUGGGUGUGUUCAGAAAAAUUUAUACAAUUUCCCUCCACGAAAUAAUUAACAAUGCAUUGGCCUUAUUUUUGGUAGACAGACGUACGAUUAAAACUCCAUAUAUAUGAAAAAUUGCUAUCAACUUAAUGUGAUGUUGACAUGCACGAGAUGGUCCCUAGCUAGCUAGUUGCUAGACGGAAUCGAUUAUAGACGGCUGAUAAACAAUUCUUGGCGCAGAAAAAAAAUGAAGGUUAAUAUACAAAUUUGGGAUCUUCGGAUGCCUUUGGUGGCAUGCCUUAAAUUUGGGACCGCAAACCAAAUUUUCUUAUUUAUAUAAUAUUUUGAUCCAGCGAAUCGACGACAUUUCGUCUCUAGCUUGCUUUGCUUGGAUCUAUUCUUUGACGCAUCUGAUGUGAUUACAACUCCUGGUAGUCCUGUGCACAUUUCAUUCACAGCUAGCCACUCGUGGUCUGGUGCAGCAGUGAUUUUCACACUUCCACAGCAGUACUAGUGGCGCCCAGUUCCAUUCUUUCUCUCCAACCUUGUCUAGUGCUUAUCCUGCUAGUACUAACAGCAACAAGUAACUAACAUUGUACGGACUAUGGAACAUCAGUGAAAAAGUAAGAGAGCAAUUCUCAGUUUCUCACUGACCGCUUGGCCUUCUAUAUAUCCCAGUCUCUUUCUGCUCUCCCCCAAUAAUUCCCACACAUCUCCAUCUCUCUCCCCGCCCCUCUCUCUAGCUCAAGUUGUUCUCUUUCUUGCUCUUCGAAGGGUAGAUCAGGUGCACCACGAGUUGGUGAAGCUGCCAGCAUGAUCUGAUGAUCGAACUCAUGGAUGAUGGGGAGGAUCGGGAUCCAUCAAUCAGGUCAUGCUGGAGUUUCAUCUGCUAGUGGGAGCACAACGAAAACCCUAAAAUCUCCAUCCAUAUGGUAUGGAUGCAUCAAUCUCGCCUGGUUCUUCUAGCUAGCCUUCCAGGAAUCCGGCCUCAAGGGUGAGAUGAUCGAGAUCCAUCUUCCUGAUCUCCAUUGAUCGAUGGCCUGCCAGGUUUGCUAAUUUCUGUAACUUCUGCAAGAAGAAGAUGAAAACUAAUCGCUCAAGUACUCCCAAAAGUAUAAUGUUCUAGAUCUAGUUAGCCAUCAAGAGGGUUUAGUUCCACAUCUAUGAUAUGGCUUGCUAAUUCAUUCAAUCUCAGCUAUAUCAUUGUGGUUACAAUAAUGAUGAUUGUUAGAGGCAUAAAAUAAUUUUGUUAGAGUACUUGAACAGCCUUAUGCAACAGAAGCGGCAUAUAUAUCUAUAUCCAUCAAUCUAGAAAAGGAGAUCAUGUUUUUGUUCCAUUGUCUGUAUCGACAACAUUGUUUAUAUUACUACAUGCAAAUGAUAUAUGUUACUAA